UUUGUGAGAAGCAUAGAUGUUCUUAGGACUCUGCUCUCUACAUAGCCCAAAGCGGCAUGGAUGCCGCCAACGAAGCAAUGCAUACAUGGAAGUAUGCUUUGCUUCGUUGGCGUAUAAAUAAUAAACAUUUCUCAGAGUCCUUAGAACAACUUGCUUCGUACAAC
rfam:Firmicutes bacterium CAG:882 genomic scaffold, scf253